rnacentral:rRNA from 1 species
AGUGGCGGACGGGUGAGUAAUGUCUGGGAAACUGCCUGAUGGAGGGGGAUAACUACUGGAAACGGUAGCUAAUACCGCAUAACGUCGCAAGACCAAAGAGGGGGACCUUAGGGCCUCUUGCCAUCGGAUGUGCCCAGAUGGGAUUAGCUAGUAGGCGGGGUAACGGCCCACCUAGUCUUCGAUGGAUAGGGGUUCUGAGAGGAAGGUCCCCCACAUUGGAACUGAGACACGGUCCAA